rnacentral:rRNA from 1 species
GACGAACGCCGGCGGCGUGCCUAAUACAUGCAAGUAGAACGCUGAAGGAGGAGCUUGCUUCUCUGGAUGAGUUGCGAACGGGUGAGUAACGCGUAGGUAACCUGCCUGGUAGCGGGGGAUAACUAUUGGAAACGAUAGCUAAUACCGCAUAAGAGUAGAUGUUGCAUGACAUUUGCUUAAAAGGUGCAAUUGCAUCACUACCAGAUGGACCUGCGUUGUAUUAGCUAGUUGGUGGGGUAACGGCUCACCAAGGCGACGAUACAUAGCCGACCUGAGAGGGUGAUCGGCCACACUGGGACUGAGACACGGCCCAGACUCCUACGGGAGGCAGCAGUAGGGAAUCUUCGGCAAUGGACGGAAGUCUGACCGAGCAACGCCGCGUGAGUGAAGAAGGUUUUCGGAUCGUAAAGCUCUGUUGUAAGAGAAGAACGAGUGUGAGAGUGGAAAGUUCAC